CUGGGAUUACAGGCAUGCACCACUGUGCCCGGCCAAAGUAAAUUAUUCAUACAUCACUGAUUCAGGCCCUGAGUCCAGACCAGGGAAAUGUAGAGGGCAGGGCCUGUACCUUUUGACAAGAUUCAAUGAAUUCCUCAAUGGUCACCACACCAUCCUUGUUUCUGUCCAUCUUCUACAAGAAGGUGGUCGGGCAGGGAGAACAAUAGGGAUGGCAGGAGAAAGGCAUGCAGAAUUCAGGUAAGUUCCCGUGUUGGUUCCUGGUCUCCUUCCCUUCACUCCGGCCCUCCAGC
rnacentral:lncRNA from 1 species